AUAACUCUGGUCCUGGUCUAGUUAUAUUCUCCCUAUAGACCCUAACUAUAGCUCUGGUCCUGGUCUAGAUAUAUUCUCCCUAUAGACACUAACUAUAACUCUGGUCCUGGUCUCAUUAUAUUCUCCCUAUAGGCCCUAACUAUAACUCUUGUCCUGGUCUAGUUAUAUUCUCCCUAUAGACCCUAACUAUAACUCUGGUCCUGGUCUAGUUAUAUUCUCCCUGUAGGCCCUAACUAUAACUCUGGCCCUGGUCUAGUUAUAUUCUCCCUAUAGGCCCCAACUAUAACUCUGGUCUAGUUAUAUUCUCACAAUAGGCCCCAACUAUAACUCUGGUCCUCGUCUAGUUAUAUUCUCCCUAUAGACCCUAACUAUAGCUCUUGUCCUGGUCUAGUUAUAUUCUCCCUAUAGGCCCUAACUAUAACUCUGGUCCUGGUCUAGUUAUAUUCUCCCUGUAGGCCCUAACUAUAGCUCUGGUCCUGGUCUAGUUAUAUUCUCCCUAUAGGCCCUAACUAUAGCUCUGGUCCUGGUCUAGUUAUAUUCUCCCUAUAGACCCUAACUAUAACUCUGGUCCUGGUCUAGUUAUAUUCUCCCUAUAGGCCCUAACUAUAGCUCUGGUCCUGGUCUAGUUAUGUUCUCCCUAUAGACCCUAACUAUAACUCUGGUCCUGGUCUAGUUAUAUCCUCCCUAUAGACCCUAACUAUAACUCUGGUCUAGUUAUAUCCUCCCUAUAGACCCUAACUGUAACUCUUGUCUAGUUAUAUUCUCCCUAUAGACCCUAACUAUAACUCUGGUCUAGUUAUAUUCUCCCUAUAGGCCCUAACUAUAACUCUGGUCUAGUUAUAUUCUCCCUAUAGACCCUAACUAUAACUCUGGUCCUGGUCUAGUUAUAUUCUCCCUAUAGGCCCUAACUAUAACUCUGGUCCUGGUCUAGUUAUAUUCUCCCUAUUGGCCCUAACUAUAACUCUGGUCUAGUUAUAUUCUCCCUAUAGGCCCUAACUAUAACUCUGGUCCUGUUCUAGUUAUAUCCUCCCUAUAGGCCCUAAAUAUAACUCUGGUCUAGUUAUAUCCUCCCUAUAGGCCCUAACUAUAGCUCUGGUCCUGGUCUAGUUAUAUUCUCCCUAUAGACCCUAACUAUAACUCUGGUCUAGUUAUAUUCUCCCUAUAGGC
rnacentral:lncRNA from 1 species